UCGAUCCCUCAUCCCGGAAGCGUCGUGGAAGUCUCUGACUAGUGACACACUGAACCAGAAUUUUUUCCAAAAAAUAUAUAGAAGAUAGGAUUCUGCGGUUUGGCAAGCUAUAAUUGAAUAUCGAAGUAAAAUGUCUUCAGAUUCCCCUCCAUCCAUCCCACCCAGAAGACGAAUGCGCAUUCAGCGAAUUAGCUCAUCAUUGAAUGAAGAAUUUGUGACUUCUCCCUCCCGGGAGCCACAAAAUACCCCGCCAUGGGGGUGUGGAUCUGACAGGGACCCAGGUCGGCAAGAAGACAUUGAAGCUGGAGUUGCAGGAGGAGAUCCCCGAGCCGCCUCCACAGUUCGCCGGGGAGCUUGCGGCGGUCGGGGACGUGUAACUAUUGAAAACAGCUUUCACAUUUAAAUUUUCUUUUCACGUGCAACAAUUAAAUAUUUGUUUUCUCUUUUACUCCAGGGUUCCAGAGUCUCCACCAGUGAAGGUGAGGAGGAGGUUAUGUUGCAUCUUGAUAAUGAUUUCCUCAUCCAACUGGUGGAGGCGAGGCACACCUUAUGGGACCACACCAACUGCCGACAUUCUGACCACCAACACACCCAGCGACUGUGGGAAGAGGACAGUGCGGCUCUGUUUCUGACCUGGGAGGAUCUCUCAGGAGAGGCUCGGAGUCAAUGUCCUUAUAUUCAGUGCAGCUUUUCGGGCUGAUACACUUCAUUAAUGAUGACGCUGAGGCGACUGCUGCUUGUUUCCAACUCAACGCUGCAUGGCGCGGGGUAUCUGGAGCAUUGCCAAGACCAGAUACAACAGUUUUUAGGCAAGUGAAACGAGUCCUUUUCAUUCCUUAUGCACUCCACAACAGAGAUGAUUAUGCUAAAAUUGCAAGGCAAAAAUUUGAGAGUUUAGGUUAUGCAUUAGACAGCAUUCAUGAAGCUGCUGAUCCUGUAGAUUCAGUUCUAAAAUCGGAAGCCAUAUUCAUUGGUGGUGGUAACACGUUCCGGCUUCUAAAAGCCUUGUAUGAUAAUAAUUUAUUACCUGUUAUCCGGAAAAAAGUGAUUGAGGAUGGGAUCCCUUAUAUAGGUUCCAGUGCCGGUACCAAUGUGGCAACAAUCAGCAUCAACACCACCAACGACAUGCCAAUUGUGUACCCACCUUCUUUACAGGCUCUUGGGUUGGUAACAUUCAAUAUAAACCCACAUUUCCUGGAUCCAGAUGUUAACAGCAAACAUAUGGGGGAGACACGAGAACAGCGCAUCAUGCAGUUUCAUGAAGAACCAGAUACUCCUCCUGUGCUUGUAUGUAAUGAUGACCAUUUUCAAUAUAUAUAAUAUAUGUAGAAGAGCUGAAUGCUCUUCGGGAGGGUUGCAUGCUGUUAGUGGAAGGGAGUAAGGCAACGCUUCUUGGAAUAACCAAAGCCCGGCUUUUUUUAAGAGGCAAAUCCCCAACAGAACACGAGCCAGGUCAAGACUUCAGUUUCCUCCUG